GGCUCAGGAUGAACGCUAGCUACAGGCUUAACACAUGCAAGUCGAGGGGCAGCAUGGUCUUAGCUUGCUAAGGCCGAUGGCGACCGGCGCACGGGUGAGUAACACGUAUCCAACCUGCCGUCUACUCUUGGACAGCCUUCUGAAAGGAAGAUUAAUACAAGAUGGCAUCAUGAGUCCACAUGUUCACAUGAUUAAAGGUAUUCCGGUAGACGAUGGGGAUGCGUUCCAUUAGAUAGUAGGCGGGGUAACGGCCCACCUAGUCUUCGAUGGAUAGGGGUUCUGAGAGGAAGGUCCCCCACAUUGGAACUGAGACACGGUCCAAACUCCUACGGGAGGCAGCAGUGAGGAAUAUUGGUCAAUGGGCGAGAGCCUGAACCAGCCAAGUAGCGUGAAGGAUGACUGCCCUAUGGGUUGUAAACUUCUUUUAUAAAGGAAUAAAGUCGGGUAUGCAUACCCGUUUGCAUGUACUUUAUGAAUAAGGAUCGGCUAACUCCGUGCCAGCAGCCGCGGUAAUACGGAGGAUCCGAGCGUUAUCCGGAUUUAUUGGGUUUAAAGGGAGCGUAGAUGGAUGUUUAAGUCAGUUGUGAAAGUUUGCGGCUCAACCGUAAAAUUGCAGUUGAUACUGGAUAUCUUGAGUGCAGUUGAGGCAGGCGGAAUUCGUGGUGUAGCGGUGAAAUGCUUAGAUAUCACGAAGAACUCCGAUUGCGAAGGCAGCCUGCUAAGCUGCAACUGACAUUGAGGCUCGAAAGUGUGGGUAUCAAACAGGAUUAGAUACCCUGGUAGUCCACACGGUAAACGAUGAAUACUCGCUGUUUGCGAUAUACUGCAAGCGGCCAAGCGAAAGCGUUAAGUAUUCCACCUGGGGAGUACGCCGGCAACGGUGAAACUCAAAGGAAUUGACGGGGGCCCGCACAAGCGGAGGAACAUGUGGUUUAAUUCGAUGAUACGCGAGGAACCUUACCCGGGCUUAAAUUGCAGAUGAAUUACGGUGAAAGCCGUAAGCCGCAAGGCAUCUGUGAAGGUGCUGCAUGGUUGUCGUCAGCUCGUGCCGUGAGGUGUCGGCUUAAGUGCCAUAACGAGCGCAACCCUUGUUGUCAGUUACUAACAGGUUCUGCUGAGGACUCUGACAAGACUGCCAUCGUAAGAUGUGAGGAAGGUGGGGAUGACGUCAAAUCAGCACGGCCCUUACGUCCGGGGCUACACACGUGUUACAAUGGGGGGUACAGAGGGCCGCUACCACGCGAGUGGAUGCCAAUCCCAAAAACCUCUCUCAGUUCGGACUGGAGUCUGCAACCCGACUCCACGAAGCUGGAUUCGCUAGUAAUCGCGCAUCAGCCACGGCGCGGUGAAUACGUUCCCGGGCCUUGUACACACCGCCCGUCAAGCCAUGGGAGCCGGGGGUACCUGAAGUGCGUAACCGCGAGGAGCGCCCUAGGGUAAAACUGGU
rnacentral:rRNA from 1 species